UAUAGCUUCUCAUAAACCCUAAAUACAAUAUAACAACGAUUUUGAUCUCAACAUACACGCCCCCAUCGUGUGGGCUUGCCCGUAGACCCCUUGGCUGGAACUCGAGAGGAAAAUUUUCAAUGAGGACUUUGAAACCUCGAGACACCUUUGGGAAGAUCUCAUCAACCUCGUGUUCCCUAUGGAAUACUAGAUCUAAUUUAUUUUGUAAUUUUGAUGUAUCUUUUUAUAUAGUUUCAAAUUAGAAGGCUUUCUUCUAACCACUCCUUGCUUCUUCUUUUUUUUCACUCUUGCUAUGUACUUUCUCUUUUUAUCAAUACAUCUAUUUGGAUCAA